UACUAAACUUCAGGGCAGCACAGCAU
rnacentral:misc_RNA from 1 species